AAAGAGCCUUAUCCCCUCCAUUGGAGUUUCCAAAUCUGAGUGUGUAUACAAGAACAGUUAUUGCAAGGAGUUAUACAACCGUGGUUCCUUACGACUUACGCUUACGACUUAAGAUCGUGAAAUUAGAUGCAGAUAUAAGAGAUUCGGUUAAAAAACGAUUUGAUCAAUUUCAAUUUAUCACAUUGGAGUUAAAUUAAAAGCACUAUUUUAAAUAAAGCUAUUAGCAGAAAUGUCUGCGUGGAGGCAAGCGGGAUUAAAUUAUAUUAAUUAUUCGCAAAUAGCUGCCAGACUUGUUAGACAAGCUUUGAAAGCAGAGCUCCGAUCAGAUGCCCUAAAACGUGAUGAAAUAAACGUAAAAUUUACCCAAUGGAAAGAUGGUAAACCUAUUAGUAAAAUAAUUAUAGUUACCAGGUUUUGUAUUCUGUUCGAUAUAAAGCUAUAUUAUUUCAGUAUACUAUUUAGUUACGUAUAGUUAGAAAUCAUGUACCUUCAAAAAUUGAUCCAUAUCUAUAAAUCAGUAUCUGAAAAAUACUGGACAAUUAGAUCCAUUUUAGCACAUAUAUAUUAUAUUUCACUAUAUGAAGUAUCCUUCACCAGAUGUUACUUCAAUUCAUGUGACUGUUAUUAUUUGCAGUGAGAAAUGCUUCACAUUGAUUCAAAUGGUUUCAUAGAGAGCUGAAAAACAAUAAUAAUAAACAAAUAAACAUGCGUAAAUGUACAAUCAUGUAAAAUCCAUAAAUUAUGAUAUCACAGAUCGAGGAAAAACUCAUCCAACUCUUCAAAUAUAUAUAUACAUAUCCUUGGAUAUUGUAUAUGAAAUCAGAAAAGGAUCUAAUAAAAUAGUAUAGAAAGAAUUUAUAUAUAGCAAUUCAACAUUCUUAUAUGAAGUAAAAAUAUCUAAUAAUAUUA